CAGGUCUGACCACCUCUCCCCUUCUAUAAUGAACAACACUGGAAAGAAACCUGUUGUUCUUUCUGGAUCAGCGAAACUUAAUACGUUAGUUAGAGAACUUUUGUUUUUGGACGAUUUUGCAUUUGCGAAUUUACCUAAUACCGUCCUACUGAUAUGUUUUAGUGCGGAGGAGGAAGCCACUUUCAUGUUUAAGGAAAAGCUUUAAUUGCCUGUACUCUAAAAAAGGAAAACGUUAACAUGGAGUAAUUCCUUCAACCACUACCCUUGUAACUUCUUCUGACCACAUUUGAUGCUGGGCAUUCCCUAAGGAACGAAUUGUAAAUAACGCCAUCCAAAUUCCUGAGAACAAGAUGCAUGCCAGGUUUCUGCCAGGAUAACAGUUGAUGCCUAAUUGAGCCUGGGAUUGUUAAAAUGUCUCCUUUUUAUAGUCCUGAAUAAUGUAGAGCUAAUGAACAGAUUCCAUUUUAGAUCUGAAAGCAUCAGCUCUCUAGCAAAGGUUUUUCUGUGUGUGUGAUUUGGCUUACUAAAAAAAUACAUAAGUAAAAAUAAAAAUAUAGAGACUCUUCUCAGCACAACCUCUGUCUUCAUAUAGAUGCUAAAUUUUUCAUUAAAAUUAUGUGUAAAUUGCUAUAGCACAUAUACAGCUAUUCUAAUACGAACUGAAUGAUGAAUUGAUUGGUCUUGAAAACUGCAUUCCAUUUUAAUCAUAUAUUUUGGUUCAGGAGUGAAAAAAACUGAAUCCUUGUCUAUUGUUGCCUUCUUUUUUCUCUGACUUUCAGACAUGUAGAACAUUCCCG
rnacentral:lncRNA from 1 species